CCCAGACUCCUACGGGAGGCAGCAGUGAGGAAUAUUGGUCAAUGGCCGAGAGGCUGAACCAGCCAAGUCGCGUGAGGGAUGACGGCCCUACGGGUUGUAAACCUCUUUUGCCGGGGAGCAAAGAGCGGGACGCGUCCCGCCUCGAGAGUACCCGGAGAAAAAGCAUCGGCUAACUCCGUGCCAGCAGCCGCGGUAAUACGGAGGGUGCAAGCGUUGUCCGGAAUCAUUGGGCGUAAAGAGUUCGUAGGCGGUAUGUUAAGUCUGGUGUUAAAUGCAGAAGCUCAACUUCUGUUCGGCACUGGAUACUGGCAAACUAGAAUGCGGUAGAGGUAAAGGGAAUUCCUGGUGUAGCGGUGAAAUGCUUAGAUAUCAGGAGGAACAUUGGUGGCGUAAGCGCUUUACUGGGCCGUAAUUGACGCUGAGGAACGAAAGCCAGGGUAGCAAAUGGGAUUAGAUACCCCGGUAUC
rnacentral:rRNA from 1 species